rnacentral:rRNA from 1 species
UGGGGAAUAUUGCACAAUGGACGGAAGUUUGAUGCAGCGACGCCGCGUGGAGGGUGUAGGCCUUCGGGUUGUGAACUCCUUUUUCUCGCGAAAAAGGCACAGUUUUGGCCGUGUUGAUGGUAGUGGGGGAAGAAGCGCCGGCUAACUACGUGCCAGCAGCCGCGGUAAUACGUAGGGCGCGAGCGUUGUCCGGAUUUAUUGGGCGUAAAGAGCUCGUAGGUGGUUCGUCGCGUCUGUCGUGAAAGCCAGCAGCUUAACUGUUGGUCUGCGGUGGGUACGUGCGGGCUUGAGUGCGGUAGGGGGGACUGGAAUUCCUGGUGUAGCGGUGGAAUGCGCAGAUAUCAGGAGGAACAACGAUGGCGAAGGCAGGUCACUGGGCCGUUACUGACACUGAGGAGCGAAAGCGUGGGGAGCGAACAGG